rnacentral:lncRNA from 10 species
CAGAUUCUGAGAAAGACUCAGACUUUCAGAGAUUCUGCCUCUUGCGAUAUCAUAUUAGACUUACUAACUAAAAACAAACAUUGUGCUUAAAUGGAAGAGCAACAUCCAGACAGAAAAGUGCACAGAUAAUAUGUGUACUGCCUGAUGAUUUCUUACAGACUCAACACUUCCAUGUAACCAGCUCCCAGAUCAAGAAACAGAACCUUCCAGGAGCCUCCUGGUGUCCCCUUAAUCACUACCCCUCCUCCCAAGGUCUCUUGGAAAAGCCUGCUGGUGGUCUCACUGGGGAUAGGACAGUAUCACACCGGAUGCCUCCAGUUCUCGUGGAGGGGCUGUUCUGCAGCUGUGGGCCAGGACGGCCAUAGAGUCAAUGAGGAAAAACACCUGGAUGGUCACCCAGCCUCUGAGAAGACUUUGCACAAGCUGCUGAGGACACUAAGGCUGGAGACAUGGGACAUGGAUGCCCUGUGAUCAAUUAAGUUGGUUAACGUCACCAGCGUAGAUGAUGUCAACGCUUCACCCUCUGGAGGCCCCAGAAAGCAGCUUUCCUUCACACGCCGCCGGACUGUCCACUGAUGGAGGCGGAUGGAUGCUCUUGGCCGCAUUUCUCGGCACUCAGGUUGUGACUGUCCCAGGCUUCCUGUUAAAUGCAUUCCUGGUCCGAAUAGCUUCACCCACGUGCUCAGGGCAGCGGGUGGAGUGCCAUCUCCACAUUUUUCUGUAGGAAACCCUCCAAGGAGGUGCUGCCUCCUCCUUCGGGCAGUGAAAACUCCUCAGCAAACUGGGACAUAGGUGCCAGAUGUUCAUCAGGACUACCCUGGAAAGAAGUCCAGGCCAUCCAGAUCAGGGAGGCUGGGUCUGAAGCUGGGUCUGCCAAGGCCUGGUUUCUGUCCAAGCCUCACUAGGGGAGGGACUUAUGGUGCAAACUCCCCAUUCCCUCUGGUGUGUGCGUUGCAGCCGUGAUGCUGUUUGCCUCAACUUAUGGGUCUUCUCUGGGCCCAGAUUGAACCUUCCUAUCUGUUUCCACUAGCUUUGUAUGCCAUAUGGCAUUUUACAGCCCCAUACUAUGUAGGUAACAGAAACAACAGCACUUGCAAACUACAUAUAUUUCAAAAAACAACUAGGUCUUUUGAUUAAAUUAUAAGCUUUAAUUAUAUUCUAACUAAUUAGAACAUGUUUAACAUAGACCUCUCCCAUACCUGAAAAACUGAAUGAAAAGAAACUUACAAAUGAACCCUCUGUAGGAUUACCAUUAGGUUAAAAAGAUAACUAAAAAAUAUACUAUUUUAGGCCAAGUGUGAUGGCUCACACCUGUAAUCCCAGUGCUUUGGAAGGCUGAGGCAGGAAGACUGCUUGAGGCCAGGAAUUUGAGACCGGCCUGGACAAGACAGUGAGACUCUGUUUCUAAAAAAUAAAAAUAAAAAAAUUAGUUGAGCAUGGGGAAGGGUACCUGUUGUUCUAGAUACUCUGGAGACUGAGUCCGGAGGAUCACUUGAGCCCAGUAGUGCAAGGUUGCAGUAAGCUAUCAUGGUUAACACUGCACUCCAGCCUGAGUGAAAGAGUGAGACGCUGUCUCUAAAAUAAACACUAUUUUAAAAUUGCAACAUUCUCUUAGUCCCUUCAUCGUUUCAUGGUUUUCCCUCUAGCAAUUAUAUCAUCUUCUGACCUUCAUAUUCCCUAUAGGCAAGUUUUUCUAAACUUUUCCUUUAUAUGCUGUGUAAGGCCUGUUCCUCUUUCCCUACAACAGUGACCUGGAGUAGGCAACUACUUUUAUCCUUUUUAAAAGACUGAUUCAAGCCAUUCUUGUAUUUCUGCAUCAACUGCAACAUUUUAACAACCUAUUCAGGUUUCUCCUACUGCUGAACUCAAUUUGCCAGUAUUUUGAGUCUUCUGCAUAGUUUCAUAAAUGAAAUUGGACUGUAAUUUUUUGCAUUGUACUUCCCUGUAAAGUCACUGAGGGUCUGGUGUCUUUUGGGGGCAAUAUUUUUUUUUUUCUAGAACAGUUUUUGUAAUAGUUAUGUGUUCUCUUGGGUUUUCUGUAUCUUCUUGAAUAAACUUUACAUUGAUGUUUUAACUUAAAUUUAUGUAUAACUUUAUAUUUUUUAGAAAAGUAUCCAUUCCAAUUUUUUAAGUUUGUUGGCAGAAAGUGAUUUAUGGUGUCUUCUUGUGAUUUUGAAAAUCUUUAAGGUAUCCAUGUUUACAUUGCUGAUAUCAGUUGUGUUUUUUUCUCUUUGUCUCAGUGGGUCUGACUAGUUAUUUAUUCUAUUUAGCGUUUUCAAAGGAUCAGCUUUUGUUUCUGUUGAUCUUCUCUAUUAAAUCUUUGUUUCCUAGUUCAUCAAUACCUGCUCCUAUCUUUAUUAUUUACCUCCUAUAUCUUCUUUUAGAUUUACUUUUCUUUUUGUUCAAGCUUUUUGAAUUGAGCAGUUAAUUUGUUGAUAUAAAUGCACUCAUUUUGCUUUUUUAAUAAACACUUAACGCAAUAAAUUUUCUUCUAAGUGCCACUUGUAAUAGAUAUUGGAGUACUUUCAUUUCUAUUCUAAAUAAUUUGUAAUUUCUACAACAGGUUUCUCUUAACCUGGAAUUAUAUAAAAGUGCUAUUUUAAUGUUUCCAAUUAUAUUUAUUUAAACAAUCUUUAAUUGUGGAUUUCUAAUACAAUUACAAGUUUGUCAGAGAAAAUUCUCUGGUAUUUAUUAACACUUCUUUCGUAUUUAAUGUGUGGUCUCUUUUUCAACUCCUUGAUGUGUAAUUGAAAAGAAUAUAUUUUUCUUCCUUGGGUAAAUGAUAUUUAUAUGUAUUUACAAUAUU